AGAACGAACGCUGGCGGCACGCCUAACACAUGCAAGUCGAGCGCCCAGCAAUGGGAGCGGCGGACGGGUGAGGAACACGUGGGAACAUGCCUUUCGGUUCGGCACAACUGCGGGAAACUGCAGCUAAUUCCGGAUACGCCCUUACGGGGAAAGAUUUAUCGCCGAAAGAUUGGCCCGCGUCUGAUUAGCUAGUUGGUGAGGUAAUGGCUCACCAAGGCUUCGAUCAGUAGCUGGUUUGAGAGAACGACCAGCCACACUGGGACUGAGACACGGCCCAGACUCCUACGGGAGGCAGCAGUGGGGAAUCUUGGACAAUGGAGGAAACUCUGAUCCAGCGAUGCCGCGUGAGUGAUGAAGGCCUUCGGGUUGUAAAACUCUUUCGACGGGGUACGAUAAUGACGGUACCCGUAGAAGAAGCUCCGGCUAACUUCGUGCCAGCAGCCGC
rnacentral:rRNA from 1 species